AUGAAUCAGGUUAGCGAGGAGCCAAGGGAUGAUCCGUCCAAGAGGGUGAGCGGGGCCGCGCCGGCGGCGGCACGCGCCGGCUGCUUCGACUGCAACAUCUGCCUGGACUUCGCGGUGGAGCCGGUGGUCACCCUCUGCGGCCAUCUCUACUGCUGGCCUUGCAUCUACGAGUGGCUGCGCCGCGACGCCGCCGGCGGCACCAUCUCGACGGCAGGGCGGCCGUGCCCCGUGUGCAAGGCCGCGCUCACGCUGGACUCGCUCGUGCCGCUCUACGGCCGUGGCGGCAGCCGGUCCGGCAAGUCACGGCUCCGCCCGGCCCUUCCGCGCCGGCCGACCGUGCACCGGGGAGCCGUCGAGCAACAGAGCGCGCGAACCAGCGGUGGCAGUAGCCACCGGCGUGUGAUCGUGGAACCCGAUUCGCCGACUCGUUCAUCCCGACACGCGCGUGUCGGUGCCGCGCAGUUCGACAUCCUGUACCCUCCUCCCGCCCAGGGGCGCGGAAUGAAUGCGAUGAACUCGACGACCGGCGGGGUGCUCGGCGGGAUGGCCCUGGCGUUGCUCCCCUGGGUGUUCGGUGGCCAGGCGCCGGCGCCGAGCUACCCCCUGGGCGAGCUGCAAAACCUGAGCCCUAGGCUGAGGCGGCAGCACAUGGAGGUGGAGAGGUCUUUGCAUCAGUUAUUGUUCUUCCUCUUUGUGUUUGUAGUGCUGUGCCUGCUCUUGUUCUGA
rnacentral:rRNA from 1 species